rnacentral:rRNA from 1 species
UACGUAGGGUGCAAGCGUUAAUCGGAAUUACUGGGCGUAAAGCGUGCGCAGGCGGUUAUGUAAGACAGUUGUGAAAUCCCCGGGCUCAACCUGGGAAUUGCAUCUGUGACUGCAUAGCUAGAGUACGGUAGAGGGGGGAUGGAAUUCCGCGUGUAGCAGUGAAAUGCGUAGAUAUGCGGAGGAACACCGAUGGCGAAGGGCAAUCCCCCUGGACCUGUACUGACGCUCAUGCGACGAAAAGCGUGGGGGAGCAAACAGG